rnacentral:lncRNA from 1 species
CUCACUAUUGCCAAAGUGGCUGAUGUUUCUCUUCCUGCGGGGGUGGCGGGCCCCGCCUGACUUUCCAUCUGCCCAGAGCUGCCCUUGAACACUCCAAGUGGGUUCUCUGCAUGCUCUCCUGCAGGUUGCCUUCCUGCCCCAGUGCUUGUGCCCGAAGCUUGAGACCCAUUUCUGACUGGAAGAAGACUGUGGUAACUGCCCUUGCUUCCUGUACUCAUGCUGCUGCCCUGCAUCCAGCAUCUGUUCCCCAGCCCCCAAGCCUGCUCCUGGCCAGGCUCAGUCGGAGCCCUGCUGCCAACUCCAGUGACCCUCUCCUCCCCUUGUAGACACUAACUGGGAGGAGUCAGCACUGAAUGCAGCCUCCAGUACCCAUACCUCGCUGGCCUAACCCUCAGCAGCACUCCCAGAUGUAGGGAUUUGGGGUGAGCAGGACACAGCUCUGUCCUCAAGCCCUGACCUUUCUGACUCACACAUGCACCAAUGAUGGGCACACAGGGCACUGCUUCCUGUGACAGGGGCCAGCAGAUGAACCUCGGGGGGCCCAGAGGAAGCUGGGAGAGCCAGAGGGCUUCCUGGAAAAGGUGAUGCCAAAGGUGUGCUAUGUUCCAUGUGAUCCCUGCAGUCCUUGGGUAUAAGCAUUCCAGAGAAAGACUCUGCCAUGGGACCAAUGAGUCUAUCUCUACUGGCUGCUGGGUGGAAUCAAGUGACAAAGUAACAAAUGGUCCAAGCAUCCUCUCUGCCUAGUCCUGGAGAGUCAGGGGUCUAGAGAGACACGGCCAAGGCCAAUUGUCCCUGGGGCCCUGGUUCCUGCCUUGCUCCUCCUUCAAGAACAGGGACGCUGUGGUUGAUCCACAAACAGCCCUGUUUCUCCACCUCCCCGUCUCCACACCCUCUCCACUGUGACUGAGCAGCUCUUCUCAUCAGGAGGUGGCUCUAGUCCUCCCCACACCACUUUGAAUCUACACCAGCUCCAUGAAUUGCCCUGGUGAAUAGAAUGUGGUAGAAAUGAUGCUGUGCCAACUCCACACAUCGGCCUCAAAGAGCCUUGUGGCCUUCAGUGCUCACACUCUUCGGACCCCGUCGCUACCAGGUGCAGAAGCCCCGCUAGCCUCCUGGAUGAGUGAGAGACAUGAAGCCCAAAGUCACCACCACCCCUGGUUGCCCCAGCCAAAGCCAGCUGGCAAUUAGCUGACCCCUGCCAUGGACCACACAUACCCAGAGAGAGCCCAUAAGACCUGCUACUUUCUGGAGUGAUUGUUAUGCAGCAGAAGCUAACUGAUACAGGUACCCUAGAAUGCUGGGCAUGGGAGAUUCAGAGCACACAGGCUGCAGGAUUUACAGGCAGAAGCCUGGCUGCAGACAGAUGGGCUGGCUGGUCUCAGAGACCUCACCUGGCCCUCUGUUUGCUGUCACAUGGGGUCUAUUCUAUAGAUUGGACCCUGAGCUGCAGGACCCUGAGCUAGUGUAACUGAGCACAGUUAUAACUAGUCUGUCUGGCAGUGGCAGUACUCAAGCCAUCUGGUCUCUUCUGCUGCUUACUGACCCUACUCUAAGCCCUCCAGUGGCUUCCCAUGACACUCAGGGUGAAACCAAACUCCUUGCCAACUCACAGGGUGCUCCCUCUUCCUAACACUCUCCCAGCUUCGUGCCUCUAACUGCACUCCAGGCACACCUGCCUCCAACCCACAAGACCCAACCCGACCUCCAGCCCUUUGCAUAUGCAGCUCCUUGACUGUUGUGCUCUUUGACGCACACACAGCUCCCUCCCCACUUCCUUUAGGCCUUUGCUCCAACAGGCUUUGUCAAAGAACCCAUAGAUUGCUAAUGGCAUGUGUCACACUUUCUGCACCCUCCUCCUGCUUUAUUUCUUUUCAGAGCACUUAGUAUGACCUUGUGCAAUAGCAUCCAUAUCACAAGACAUUCAGUGGGAACCAGUGAAAGUUAUGAAGAAAGGGUGAGGUGGUGAGAAAGAGGUCAGCCAUGGGAACUUCAUAGCAGUAAAGCCAUUGGCUGGGAGCCCAUGUGUCCCAAAGCAGCCUGCCAUCCCAACCACCAGAGACACUGUUGCCAGUUAAUAUGCUUUAGCCAUUUCUAGGAGCUGGUAUCUUACUCAGCAGCACAAGCCCGGAUUUAUGGCCAUGGCAUAAUUGCUUACAAGCCUUGUGCAGGUGACACAUGUUUGUCAAAAACACCUUGUCUUGAGGUGGACCUAGAGAUGUGUUCCCUGAAACAUAGAAGGCUCCACAAAGCAGAGUCUACCUGGGAGCUCCUGCUGUCUGCAAUCCUCCUAGCAUUUAGGGUCCAUCUCAGAACUGCUAGAGAAUUCUCUAACUGGGAGCUGGGAUUCCCCUGCAGUGGGCAGGGGAGAAACAACAAGUGGCCUGGCUUAGCAUCAGAAGCUGGGGAGGGCAUCCUACAGGGCCGGGGAGGCCCAGAGUAGGCUCAGACCCACCAUGUAUCCAGAGCUCAAGGACAAAGCUCUCCUACACUCUGUGAGGGACCCCUUGGGCACUGGGGUCUUAGACCAGUAACCAGGGGGCAGACCUGGGGGCCUGGUCAGGGUCCGAAGGGACUGUAGUGCUGUGGUAAAGAGCAUGGAGUCUGGAACCAGACUGCCUUGGUUCAAAUCCCAGCUCACUCAGUGACCUUCUGAAUGACCUUGGGCAAGUCAUGUAAAGGCUCUGUGCAUAAGCUUCCUCAUCUGUAAGAUGGGUGUAAAGAUUGUCUCCUUACAGGGCUGUGAGGACCCCAUGAAAUGCUCAGACCAAGGCCUGUUACAUCACAAGUGCUGUGGAAGUGAGUUGUCAUUAACAACACCAGAGGCCAGGACUCUAUACCCCCCAGAGCGAGGAAGGAGCUUUCCUGGUAAGGACAGGACUCUUCCUUUCCUGGUAAGGACACGACUCUGUUCCAGAGCUCUCCAUCCCCUUACCAGGCAAAGAGCUUGCAGGGAGUGAGAGAAAGGAGUCUCUUAACCCUCAGGUGCUUCAUCAUCAAAAUGACAGGGUGAGAAGCAGAAGCAGCAAGAGUUUCUCAGGACUUCCUGAGAAAUGUGCCAAAGUGCCUUUCAUGCCAACUCAGUGGACCCCAUGAGAUGAAAGUGAAAAGACAGGCUGUCAGGUCUGAUCCUUCCACUGCCAGCCCUAGGGUCCCAGGUCCCAACCUACCAGCCAUACUGUGCACAGCCAGGCACCAGGCAGAAGGAACACAAUACCCACCUUCAGAGAGUUGGACCCAGACUCCAUGUUGGGGUCACCCCUUUUGUCAUUACAAACUCAGCCCCUCCUCUGUGGUCCUGUUUCCUCAUUCUCACAAAAACAUUCACAAAUGGCUACACAGGGCUUACUGGGGUACUUGCACGUACCAGAAAUUGCAAUGGUAAAAAGAGGAAGAAGAGGACAAUAAACAGAAAACAGGCAUGACUGCAGGCAUUUGUGCUACAAAUUAUCAAAGAUCUAAGGGCCUCAGAUCUUUAAAAAAGGUUUCUUGCUAUGUGACUGGAGAAAGGAGGCCCAUUUAGUAAAUGGUGCUGGGACAGCUGAGUAUCCAUACAACAAAAUGAAGUUGGAUCCCUACUUCACACCACAUCCUCAAAUCAAUUCUGGACACAAAAAAAUCUAUACUGGAAAGAGAAAACUUGAAGAGGAAUUUUCUCUGAUGGGUAUAUCUUUCCAAACUUGGGGUUGGGAAUAAUUUCUUAAACAAGGUAUAAAAAGCUCACUAAAAAAAUAAAAAAUAAAAAAAAAAAUAAAAUCUCACUAAGUAUAAUAAUAUUGGUAGAUCUGACUGCAAUAAAACUAAACAUUUGUUUUUACCAAAUGACCAGUGAAAAGACAAACCACAAAAAACAAGAACACAUCUGGAAUAUGUCCAAUAGGCAAAGGAUUAGUAUCCAGAAUACAUAAAGAACUUCUACAAAUCCACAGGAAGAAGAGAAGCAAUGAGCAAAAAGACCACAGCAGGUAUGUCUUAGAAGAGAAAACAGGUGCACAGAUGAGCAUGGGAAAAGCUGUUGAAUUUCACUAGGAUGCAGGGAAAUGCAAGUUAAUGUCCCAAUGAGUUAUUUCAUACCCAUUAGACUCACAGUGAGUAAGACAUCUGAUUGUACCAAGGUUUGAGAGGAUGUAGGUCAACUGGAAUACGUAGUGGAUGAAUGUGACACCUAGUCCAGCUAUGUUGAAAAUCACUUUGGCAUUUUCUUGUUAGGUUGACCAUUCACAUACCUUGUAACCCUGCAAAUCGACUCCUUGGUAUUACACAAGGCACAUACAAGAAGAUUUCAUAGCAGCACUGUUAAUAAUGGGGGGCCAAAGGGAGGGAGAUGACCCAAAUACUCAUUGACAGGAGAAUGCAAAACUAAAUUGCUGAAUAGUCACAGUUUAUUUUCACACUAGUGAAAGUAAACUACAGCUAAACAACAGCAUAGCUAAAGCUUAGAAAGAGUAAAAUGUUGAGUAAAAAAAGUGCAAAUUUUAGAAAUCUACUUCUAGUAAACAAUUUUUUACAGCUCAAGAACAAACAAUGUAAUGUUUAGACUUAUUCAUUAAACCUCUGAGCAAGAGAAUGAUGAACAAACACAAAGUUGCAGAUAAGAGGUGACUUCCAGUGUAGGAUAAGAUGCAAACAUAUGGAUGCAAGCCAUUGGGAAUGUUCUAGUUCUGGAGUUGAGUUCUGGACUCACAGAUGUUUGUUCUUUCACUAUUUUUUAUCAUGUACAAAACACAUUAAAUAUCAAAUAGAUACAGGCAAAGGAGAAAAAGGAGGAACAUUGUGUGGAUCUAGACAGACCCAGUAUGAUUUCCUUGUCUCACAGUUCACUGUUUUCAUUUUGUGUCACAGUGGGUACCAAGAGGUCUGAGGAGAGGCUAGAUCAGGAGGUGACAUGACUGGAAAUUGGAUGACAGCAUUCUUCCCUCUGGGCCUCAGUUUCUCCGUAUGCAAAAUAAGGGGUGUACCAGGAAUGACAAAUGGCUGGCAUGUAUAACACAGGUUUCCCUUUCCUCCCCCACUGCAGACUCUAGUAAUGGAUUGCAGCACUACUUCAUGUGGAUCACAUAUAUAGCAUUAGACUCCUUCUCAGCUGGGCCCCGCAGGCAGUCUCUGGCCUGCAAGUUUUGAAGUCUUGCUAGCAGACACUAGUUAGUCUAAGAGGCAGUGGCCCUAGGGAGGAGCCCACCAGCUUUGGAGCUGGCCCUAGCCAGAUUGUGGCAGUGUGCAGCCUCAGCUUCUGUGGUGCUCACUCCUGUGGCCUCCAGUCCGCUGCAGCUGACCCUUGCCCACCCACCAUAGGACCAGGCCUCUUGCUCCCAUCUAUUGGGUGGGAAGACUCAUGUGUAUCCUAUGCUGGUGAGCUGUGCUGGACUUGAAAACAGCUCAAACAACCGAGUGCCAAGCAGGAGCUCAUCAUCACCCUCUAAUCCAGAGAGUAUUGUAAAUGGCCCCAUUGUGCCUAAUCCAACUAGCCCUCUGAAGCAGGAGGAUGGCAUCCCUUUAACUGCCUUUGCCUAUAUGGGCUACAGGCCUUUGAUCCCCUGCUUCCCUCUGCCUGCCCUCCUCCUUCUCCCCUCAUGGUCUCAGCUCACGAGACUCCUUCUUAGUUGCACUGCUCCACCUCCUUCUUUCCCAGUCAGAGUUGACAUCCCCUCCUCUAGAUGUCCACAACACAGAGGUCAGCUUCCUCAAGGAGAACUUGUGUGCUGGGUCUGGUCCAGCUUCUGUGGGUGUCUGUCCCUCCAGUGUGGGGAGCCCAUCAAGGUCCACUUCACAACUGGCAUGAAAACAAUAAUAUCAUCAGGGGCAGCCACAAAUCCUCAGAAUAAAUGAGCUUCUUUAAGAACUGCCCUCCUAUUGUAUAAUCCUCACAGCCAGUGAAGUUGGCAGUGAGGGUCAGCACUUCACUCUUUAUUCUUUUUUUUC